UAUCAUUAGAAAGAUAAAAAAAAUUAUCUAUCUAAAAAUAUAUUUUUUACUUUUUAUUUUUAUCUUUUAUUGAAAGAAAAUCCUAUGAAUAGAUUGUGACUAGUUUUGUAGUAUAUAAUUGCUUGAUUGCACUUGUUUUACUUAUUUGGUGUUGUCCUUCUUUUAUUCUUGUUUAUUGCUACUUCUACUUCUCACCACCAAUUACAAGAAACUCUUAAUUGAAGCCAUCUUGUAAUUUGGAGUGAGGGAAAAAUUUACACUCACAUAGAUUAUAAAAAAAAUUUAUAAUUGUAACUAAAUAGGUAAAAAUUAUGAUAAUGUUUUGUAUUUCUUCUCAAAACAAAUAGAAGAUAUGUUAUAUGGACAUAAAUUUUUUUUUCUUGUAUAAAGAGUUAAAAAAAAAAUUAUAUUAUUUAGUCUCAAGAUUUUGAAGUACCAAAAAAUGUCUACACUUGACACACAUGCAACUUAAUAUAUGUGUGGAUGAAUAUCACUCUUCAAUCUAAAUUAUAAGAUGAUCUCAAUUAAGAACUAUUUAUAAUUGGUGGUAAGAAUUGAAGGGAGCAAAUAACAAGAAUAAAAGAAGAACAAAUACAAAACAAGUGAAAUAAAUGAAAUGAAGUAAUUAUACAUUUCAAAACUUAAUCACAGUUUGUUUAUUAAAUUUUUAUCUAGUAAAAAAUAUAUUUUUUAUUUUUUUU
rnacentral:lncRNA from 1 species